rnacentral:rRNA from 1 species
UGGGGAAUUUUGCACAAUGGGGGAAACCCUGAUGCAGCGACGCCGCGUGAUUUAGAAGGCCUUCGGGUUGUAAAAAUCUUUUCUAUGGGAAGAAAAUGACAGUACCAUAGGAAUAAGGACCGGCUAAUUACGUGCCAGCAGCCGCGGUAAUACGUAAGGUCCGAGCGUUGUCCGGAAUCAUUGGGCGUAAAGGGUACGUAGGCGGGUAAGCAAGUUAGAAGUGAAAUCCUAUAGCUCAACUAUAGUAAGCUUUUAAAACUGCUCAUCUUGAGGUAUGGAAGGGAAAGUGGAAUUCCUAGUGUAGCGGUGAAAUGCGCAGAUAUUGGGAGGAAUACCGGUGGCGAAGGCGGCUUUCUGGCCAUAACCUGACGCUGAGGUACGAAAGCGUGGGUAGCAAACAGG